CAUGCAGUCGUACGAGAGUUUUUAACUCAAGUGGCGGACGGGUGAGUAACACGUAAGAAUUUACCUUUAGGAGGGGGACAACAACGGGAAACUGUUGCUAAUACCCCAUAUGCUUUCGAGUGAAAUGGAUUUAUCCGCCUAGAGAGAGGCUUGCGGCUGAUUAGCUUGUUGGUGAGGUAAUGGCUCACCAAGGCGACGAUCAGUAUCUGGUUUGAGAGGACGAUCAGACACACUGGAACUGAGACACGGUCCAGACUCCUACGGGAGGCAGCAGUGGGGAAUUUUCCGCAAUGGGCGAAAGCCUGACGGAGCAAUACCGCGUGAGGGAUGACGGCCUAUGGGUUGUAAACCUCUUUUUUCAGGGAGGAAUCAAUGACGUGUACCUGAAGAAUAAGCAUCGGCUAACUCCGUGCCAGCAGCCGCGGUAAGACGGAGGAUGCAAGUGUUAUCCGGAAUCACUGGGCGUAAAGCGUCUGUAGGUGGUCAAAUAAGUCAACUGUUAAAUCUUGAGGCUCAACCUCAAAACCGCAGUCGAAACUAUUAGACUAGAGUAUAGUAGGGGUAAAGGGAAUUUCCAGUGGAGCGGUGAAAUGCGUAGAGAUUGGAAGGAACACCGAUGGCGAAGGCACUUUACUGGGCUAUUACUAACACUCAGAGACGAAAGCUAGGGUAGCAAAUGGGAUUAGAUACCCCAGUAGUCCUAGCUGUAAACAAUGGAUACUAGAUGUUGAACAGAUCGACCUGUGCAGUAUC
rnacentral:rRNA from 1 species